UGAGCGCGCAUGCUGUGCAAAACACGGCUGAGAAUGGAACAGCCUUCCUGUGACGAGACUGUCUGACAUGGAAACGCCGCAUUCUUUUGUUUUUGAGUGAAGGAAUUAAUUAAUUAGGCCUACGCGAUACUUAUAUUUAGUUGUCUCAAUGUCUUGGUACAAUGAGAUAUGGUUUGAGACAUAAGCAAUAGCUUAACCAUCAUUCAGGUUUUGCCAUGAUCAGACCAUCCCAGUUACCAGACAGCAUGAUGAGCAAGCCUGCCCAGGGCUUCAUGGCCUCCGUGUCCCCGCGGCAGAUGCUCGGGCUCGACGGGCCGCUGGGCACGAUGGCUACGGCUCCCCUGGGGCGCCCCAUGCUGGGCCCUCUCCCCAGGUACCCCCACAGUGAGGCACUGCAGUACAAUGGCUCCUAUUUCUCCUAUCGCCUCUGCGGGCAAGAGGGGGGCGGGGGAGAGCACCCGUCGGCGUGGAGCCCCUCCGUGGCCUAUCUGGGGAGCGGCAGCAGCAGCAGCAGCAGCAGCAGCAGGAGUCCCACAGUGCCCACGGCCGUCACAGAGGGCUCAAUUACGAGUCCGAUCGUUUACCGUCAAGAGAAGGUGUCGCUCCCGGCGGGCUGCAGUGGCUCUCCUCUGACCGUGGCGCAGGGGCUGGCUAUGAAACGGAGGCAUGUGGUAUCAGGGUAUUACCCUGACAGGAGCCAGGCCCAGUGCAGCAGCAGUAGUAGCAGCAGCAGCAGCAGCCCCAGCGUGGUAACACCUUCUGCUAUGAGGCGUCAGGCGUUGGUAGGCGCUAACCUCUCCCCGCAGACGGAGGGCCCGGUGGGGCUGGCCGUACCCAAGCCGGUGUACGGUCACAACGCCUGCUGCUCGGACUUGCGCUGCACGGCCAACUACAGCACCAUGGAGCAGGGCCUGCACCGGACGCCCGCAAACGUCUACGAGGACGAGUGGCUGAUGGGGUACGGUGGUGCUGUGCCUCUCACUACGUCACGGAAGGACCUCGACAUGCUGCUCGAGCAGAGAGGCUUGCAUGCUGAGCCCCGUGCGGAGAGGGCGGCCGGAAAAGAGGUGGCCCCUGAGGAGUACUGUGACCUGGACACUUUCCUAAACCAGCGUGGACCGGUCUACAGCGAUGUAAGUCACAGCAGCUAUGCAUGCAGUCCCACUAGCAGUGCGCCAUUUAUUGGUGCCCCCCCAGAUCAGUGCCAGCGCUUUCAGUUCCCCUCCAAGGACUAUCCCGGCUUACCUUCCUCCCAUCCGCACAUGUAUGAUCCGGCAGCGCUCGGUGCUCAGUACGGCGUUCCGCGGAAAGUGUACCCGGAGUACUCCCACGCUCCGAGCUACGUGCAGGUUCCCCAGCGCUCGAGGGUGUACUACCCUCCUCAGGAUCACGCGGAGGUGGAGAAGGCGGGCGUGAGGAGGAAGUACAGCGACGGGACGCCCUCGCCGUCUCCAGAGCGACGGGACUCCUUGGGCUCUCCCGCCCAGUGUUCGCUCCCCCAGAACAUCCCGCACCCCUCCGUCUUCGCCGGCCCUCCUGGGCACUGCCACAUGCGUCUCCCCAGGCACCCGUUCACGCCCAGGAACUUUGACCACCUGGCCUACCGCCCUUACCAGCUGCAUGUGAACGGUAGCCAUCCAAAAGCCGCGCCCGUGAGGCCCCCCUCGUACCCGUACCCGCCGAGCCCUCUCCCGUCUCGCCCCCCGGAGAAGCCGCUCGACUACUCCGUGCACAGGGAGCAGCCGGGGUCGUCUCCGUGUCCGUUUCCAGUGCCUUCCAGUCAAUCUGGAGUCGUGCCUCCCAAGCCUCAAACACUUGAACACGGCAGUCCGAAGUUACACCAUGCAGGCAGUGUGAAGAGGCCUCUAAGUUACUACGUGGGCGCCUCACACUUCCCUGUGGAUGUUAGCGGGAAAUGCAGUGCUUCCGACAAGCAGGCGUUUGACACCUCCGACUCAAAGGUGCAUUAUGGGAACUUGUUGGCGAAAGCGAACUGUGAAAGACGGCUCAACACGAGGGACCAAGUAUCCAGUGGUGAUGCUGAUGUGUAUGAGGUGGAAGUGACCGCUAAAAAGCGGAAAAAGGUUGACGUGGUCCAGGAGGCCGCAGCCCUGCCUAAGCCAGCCCCGUCUCCACCAAUGCCGGUCAUCAACCAGGUGUUCAGCCUGGCCCCUUAUAAGCUCUACUUAGAAGCUGCAGGCGUGCUGCCUGCGGUUAAGCGAUGCAGUAGCUCCGAGGACUCUCCUCAACCACCUGGCACGCCCAAACAAGAUCCCAAGAGUUCAGAGGGAAAUGUGAAAUACGAACGCGGUGACUCGCGUCACCGUUCUGUGGACUGUUCCGAGGAAACAACGGAAACGUUGCCUGUGAAAACGGAGAAAAUUGACCAUCCUAAGGAGGACACGGUAGAGGAUAAUCUUUGCGACAAAAAAAUCAUCAAGAGCGAGUCUUGCACGGAUGCCACAGAAGGCAGGUCUCCUCUGAAAACGGAUCAAAAGACAGACAGACGCUCUCCUAUACUGGCUGAGGAUGGCGUGCCAAAGUGUAAAGUUGAAAUGACCUCAGGGCGCAACACGGAGACUAACCUUUCUUUCAAUAAAAGCGCCAAAGACGUUGUGCCUGUGGUCAGACCUGCCGUGAACUCCUCAACGCCACCGGUGACCCUUGCCCUGAAAUCAGUGCCUUCGCCCCAAGCGACCUCCAUCCGAGUCGACCUCCAAAACAUUCCCCCUCAGUGCCUGAAACUCUCCACCUACAACAUUGUCCUGCCUGAGGUCCUGCGGACGUCGGUGAGGCCCGUCCCUCGGCCUCCGCUGCCGCCGCCGCCGCCACUCCUGAAAUCCGCCUGCCUCCCGACGGCGCUCCAGUCCCCUGCUGACCCCGCGGUGGAGGCCUCCGUCCUCAGGCAGGCGCGCCACCAGUUCAUGGAGCUGCAUCUGUCUCUGUGCAGGCUCAUCUACACCCUCGCCACGGAGACCCCUCCCCAAGAGCUCCGCGACUGGUUGUUCAAGAUGGAGCUGGGCAACAAGACCACGUACCCGCCCGAUAAGCACCAGCGGGUGGCCUCCAUGGUGGGCGGCAGGGCGCGGGAGGUGUGGGCGAGGACUGGCGAGCGCUCCCUGCUUCUGCAGAAGGUCCUGGGCAAGCUGAAGGGCUACGAGACGCGAGGGGAGUGCCCGUUCCCGCACGUGAUGCGGGCCGGCGGCAUCUUCCUACCCAUGCUGGUGGUGAAGGAGGGGCUGUUCCCCCAGGUGCACGGCACCUUCAUCGACCAGGUGCUGCAGGAGCAUCGGGUGGAGCUGCGGCCCACCACCCUCUCGGAGGAGAAGCACCUGACCCAGCUGCAGAAGCGCACCUGCUCAUCCAAGCUCCGCAGGCUCCUGUCGCUCCGACACCUACCGGACAUUUACGUCGACGUGCUCAACCUGUUUUACUACACCAGCGUAUGUAAAGUCCUAGUCAUGGAUGGUGCAGAAAGGUCUCUUUUGUUCCGUUGACGCAACUGCCACUACCGACUUCAUGUGAAUCCUUGUGAACUUUAUCAACUGCGAUCAGCCAUUUGCCUUGUUGCACUGAUCAAAUGCAAAUCCAACUCUUUUUUUCCUUUGCGUGUGAAAACCAUAACAAAAACAGCCAAGCCGAGCAUUCAGUGCCGCUGUUCAGGGAGCGUUCGUUAGUACAGGUAGGCACUGCUAGGCAGGGCCGUGGGUCUGAUACAGCUGGACUGUGACUGCAGUCAGGGUAACUUCUAUGUGUGAAGGCUGUUUAUGCAAAGCAUUUGAAAUGGAUGCUCUGUAGGAUGGAGUGGAAACUAUGAGUUACUGGACAAUAUUGAGUGUAUAAGACAAAGACAAAAGGUUUGGUAAUGGUCCUGUCAUCAUUCAGGCAGGCAGUCAAAUGCAGUAAGUUAUGCAGUAGUCAAGAGAUGUAAAGGUUGAAAACCACUGCAUGUUUCUCUUAAGUUAUCCAUGUUUUAUUUUAUAAUAAUAUAAUUUAUGUUUUGCAUGUUGUUUUUGUUUUGAAUUCCAUCUCUGUAUACAUUUUCUUUUUCGCAGAUUCCACUUCCCAUGUUGCUGCCAAAAAGACACCUCAGAUUUAGUGCCUGAUGUGUCAAUCAAGACCGAACCAGAGAAUCUCUUUGAAGGAAAAGGCACCUUGGGGAAUUCACCUCCCUCCUGCUGUCCUGAGGAGUCUCCACCAGAUUCUAAAAGCAUUCAGGGCCCUGAGGGGGUCUGUUUCAUGGU